AAGACGUGGUGCAGCAGUGGGGAAUAUUGGACAAUGGGCGAAAGCCUGAUCCAGCCAUGCCGCGUGUGUGAAGAAGGCCUUCGGGUUGUAAAGCACUUUCAGUGGGGAAGAAAGCCUUGGGGCUAAUACCCUCGAGGAAGGACAUCACCCACAGAAGAAGCACCGGCUAACUCCGUGCCAGCAGCCGCGGUAAUACGGAGGGUGCGAGCGUUAAUCGGAAUUACUGGGCGUAAAGCGCGCGUAGGCGGUCUGAUAAGCCGGUUGUGAAAGCCCCGGGCUCAACCUGGGAACGGCAUCCGGAACUGUCAGGCUAGAGUGCAGGAGAGGAAGGUAGAAUUCCCGGUGUAGCGGUGAAAUGCGUAGAGAUCGGGAGGAAUACCAGUGGCGAAGGCGGCCUUCUGGACUGACACUGACGCUGAGGUGCGAAAGCGUGGGUAGCAAACAGGAUUAGAUACCCGAGUAGUC
rnacentral:rRNA from 1 species